CGGUGAAACCGCGAAUGGCUCAUUAAAUCAGCUAUGGUUCCUUAGAUCGUACAUGCUACAUGGAUAACUGUAGUAAUUCUAGAGCUAAUACAUGCCACUAUGCCCUGACCCGCAAGGGAACGGGUGGAUUUAUUAGAACAGAACCAACCGGGUUCGGCUUCGGCCGUUCCUGUUGCACUCUGUGAUGACUCUGGAUAACUUUACUGAUCGCAGUCGGCCUUGUGUCGGCGACGGAUCUUUCAAAUGUCUGCCCUAUCAACUUUCGAUGGUAGGUGAUCUGCCUACCAUGGUGAUAACGGGUAACGGGGAAUCAGGGUUCGAUUCCGGAGAGGGAGCCUGAGAAACGGCUACCACAUCCAAGGAAGGCAGCAGGCGCGAAAAUUACCCACUCCCGGCACGGGGAGGUAGUGACGAAAAAUACGAAUACGGGACUCACUCGAGGCUCCGUAAUUCGAUUGAGUACAAUCUAAAUCCUUUAACGAGGACCAAUUGGAGGGCAAGUCUGGUGCCAGCAGCCGCGGUAACUCCAGCUC
rnacentral:rRNA from 1 species